CACACACACAUCUGGCUCGGAUCCUUUGACUCUAUGGAGAACACGGUUGGAGUUCUCACCCUCCAUGGCCACAAGGCCAAAAUCUAUGUGCCCCAGACUCUAUGUUAGUGGCAAUGUUGUAAUCGCUUUUUCCUAAUGAUUUUGCCCUAACUGAGAUCAUUGUGCCCAUCUCCUUAUAUACCCAGUCACUUGAGAACUCUUCCACCAACUCAGUCUGAAUCGUAAGCAUGUAAAGCUCUUGGUUUCUUGAGGAACAGCCAAUGUUUGAACCGCUUCCAUUGCCCUCGCCUCCGGCCUAACUUGUUGCUUCUUUGUAUUGUUGUCAAGGGAGAAGAUACUUGAAAUUUUUGAGAGAAUGAUGGAAGAGAGAAAGAGAAUUAAUAUGAGAUUGAAGAUCAGUAGUAAAAGCUAUGCAAAUGCACGAGAACAAAAGUAAGAUAAACUUUAGCAGGAAAAUAAAGAAUUUGGAUAAUGGCCAUGUUGAGCUCAAAGAGCUCAAGGGUGCCAUAUUUCUGACUGACACUUCUUUUAGCACAACCACCACUCUAUGCGAUAGAUUCAACCUAUGUGCCAUUUCAUCCUAUGCAAGUGAGUGGAUAACAAGUUACAAGAUAUUUUGAGCCAGAUCCUAUGAUUGCAACAUCCAUGAGUGAGCUAGAAUCAUGUGAGAAGUUUCAUAUGGAGGCAUUGACAAGAAUCACAAUAGAAAGGUUAUGAUUUCUCUGUCGAAGAUUGUUAAUGUCAAUUUAGUGACUAUGACAGAGAACCACCAGAGAUACAUCCAGAUUGUCAUAGUUGAUGCGCAUGAGGUCUGGUUCAUGGUUUUGUGAGUUAUGACAAAGUUGCAACACACCUCUUGGAUGUUGUU